GGGGUGUUAGCUCAGCGGUAGAGCAGCUGCCUCUUAAGCAGUUGGUCGGAGGUUCGAAUCCUCCACGCCUCA
rnacentral:tRNA from 1 species